GACGAACGCUGGCGGCGUGCUUAACACAUGCAAGUCGAACGGUAAGGCCCCUUCGGGGGUACACGAGUGGCGAACGGGUGAGUAACACGUGGGUGAUCUGCCCUGCACUUCGGGAUAAGCCUGGGAAACUGGGUCUAAUACCGGAUAGGACCACGCUCUGCAUGGAGUGUGGUGGAAAGCUUUUGCGGUGUGGGAUGGGCCCGCGGCCUAUCAGCUUGUUGGUGGGGUGAUGGCCUACCAAGGCGACGACGGGUAGCCGGCCUGAGAGGGUGUCCGGCCACACUGGGACUGAGAUACGGCCCAGACUCCUACGGGAGGCAGUAGUGGGGAAUAUUGCACAAUGGGCGCAAGCCUGAUGCAGCGACGCCGCGUGGGGGAUGACGGCCUUCGGGUUGUAAACCUCUUUCAGUACCGACGAAGCGCAAGUGACGGUAGGUACAGAAGAAGCACCGGCCAACUACGUG
rnacentral:rRNA from 1 species